GACGAACCGUGCGAACGUUGUUCGGAAUCACUGGGCUUAAAGGGCGCGUAGGCGGGCUGCCAAGUCUGUGGUGAAAUCCUCCAGCUUAACUGGAGAACGGCCGUGGAUACUGGCGGUCUCGAGGGAGGUAGGGGCAAGUGGAACUGUGCGUGGAGCGGUGAAAUGCGUUGAUAUGCACAGGAACUCCGGUGGCGAAGGCGACUUGCUGGACCUCUUCUGACGCUGAGGCGCGAAAGCUAGGGGAGCGAACGGG
rnacentral:rRNA from 1 species